rnacentral:rRNA from 1 species
ACGCUCGACACCUACGGGAGGCAGCAGUGGGGAAUAUUGCACAAUGGGGGAAACCCUGAUGCGGCGACGCCGCGUGGAGGAAGAAGGUCUUCGGAUUGUAAACUCCUGUUGUUGGGGAAAAAGAGGAUGGUACCCAACAAGGAAGUGACGGCUAACUACGUGCCAACAGCCGCGGUAAUCUGAGCGGGCUGGCAAGGC